GACGAACGCUGGCGGCGUGCUUAACACAUGCAAGUCGAACGGAAAGGCCUGCUUUCCCUUGUGGAUUGCGGGUGCUCGAGUGGCGAACGGGUGAGUAACACGUGAGUGAUCUGCCCCCAACUUGGGUAUAAGCCUGGGAAACUGGGUCUAAUUCCCGAUAGGACUGCAGGGUGGUGCCUGUGGUGGAAAACGAUUUUCUAGUGGUUGGGGAUGAGCUCGCGGCCUAUCAGCUUGUUGGUGGGGUAAUGGCCUACCAAGGCGGCGACGGGUAGCCGGCCUGGGAGGGUGGACGGCCACAUUGAGACUGAGAUACGGCCCAGACUCCUACGGGAGGCAGCAGUGGGGAAUAUUGCACAAUGGGCGGAAGCCUGAUGCAGCGACGCCGCGUGGGGGAUGACGGCCUUCGGGUUGUAAACUCCUUUCGACCGCGAGGAAGCCACCUGGUUGGAAGGGUGGUGACGGUAGUGGUAGAAGAAGCACCGGCUAACUACGUG
rnacentral:rRNA from 1 species